GGACUACAGGGGUAUCUAAUCCCGUUUGCUCCCCUAGCUUUCGUGUUUCAGAGUCAGGAAUUUUCCAGGAAGCCGCCUACGCCACCGGUGUUCCUCUUGAUAUCUACGCAUUUCACUGCUACACCAAGAAUUCCGCUUCCCCCUCCAAUCCUCUAGCCAGGCAGUAUCGAGCGCCAUUUCACUGUUAAGCAGUGAGAUUUCACACCCGACUUACCUGGCCUCCUACACACCCUUUACGCCCAAUGAAUCCGAACAACGCUCGGGACCUCUGUAUUACCGCGGCUGCUGGCAC
rnacentral:rRNA from 2 species